GCUGUUAGCAAGCGUUGAACCGGGGGUCUCCGAAUGGGGCAACCCAGUAGAGGUUAUACUCUACUAUCAUUACCUGAAUGUAUAGGGUAGUGAGGCGAACCCAGGGAACUGAAACAUCUAAGUACCUGGAGGAAAAGAAAGCAACCGCAAUUCCCUAAGUAGCGGCGAGCGAACGGGGAGUAGCCCAAACCAAGCAUUCCUAACGGUCUGUGUGGCCUAUGUGUGUUUGGGGUUGUGGGAGGCUCAGUCAGUGCACAGGCUGGCAAGGAGUUACAAAACAGACAGUUAGCUGAAAGCUUUUGGAAAAUGCUGCCAUAGACGGUGAUAGCCCGGUAAGCGAAAAUUGUUCUGUCUCCUGAGUUAAUCCCGAGUAGGGCCAGGCACGUGAAACCUGGCUUGAAUCCGGGGGGACCACCCCCCAAGGCUAAAUACUACUUCAUGACCGAUAGUGCACGAGUAGCGUGAGUGAAAGGUGAAAAGAACCCCUGCGAGGGGAGUGAAAUAGAAUCUGAAACCAAGAAGUUACAAGCAGUGGGAGGGCGUCUAGUUCAGCUUCGGCUGGACCCGGCCUGACCACGUGCCUUUUGCAUAAUGAUCCGGCGAGUUACGGUCGUUUGCUCGGUUAAGCCCUUCCGGGGCGGAGCCAGAGCGAAAGCGAGUGCCAAAUGCGCGUAGCCUUCGGGCAGGUAAGCGGCCGUAGACGCGAAAACAGGUGAUCUAACCAUGAGCAGGGUGAAGCGUGGGUAACACCGCGUGGAGGCCCGAACACACUGGUGUUGAAAAAUCAGGUGAUGACUUGUGGUUAGGAGUGAAAGUCUAAUCAAACCUGUAGAUAUCUCGUUCUCCCCGAAAUAGUUUUAGGACUAGCCUCGGGUAAAUUGUCUGAACGGGGGUAGAGAGACUGAAUGGGUUUGGGGGGCUACCAGCCUACCCUGCCCAACCAAACUCCGAAUACCGUCCAGACUUACCCCGGGAGUCAGACCGUGGGGGAUAAGCUUCACGGUCGAGAGGGAAACAGCCCAGAACGUCGGCUAAGGUCCCUAAUCUAUGCUAAGUGCUUAAGGAAGUGGGAUUGCAGAGACAGCCAGGAUGUUGGCUUAGAAGCAGCCACCAUUUAAAAAGUGCGUAAUAGCUUACUGGUCGAGCAAUUCUGCGCCGAAAAUGAACGGGACUCAAGCAUAGAACCGAAGCCACGUGUUUGCAGACCAUGGGUGUCUGUAAGCGGUAGGGGAGCGUUGCACAUGGGUGGAAGCCUGAUCGCAAGGACAGGUGGACUUUGUGCAAGUGAUUAUGCCGGAACGAGUAGCGAGAAAAUCAGUGAGAAGCUGAUUCGCCGUAAACCUAAGGUUUCCUGGGGUAGGUAAUUCCGCCCAGGGUUAGCCGGACCCUAAGGCGAGGCCGAAAGGCGUAGUCGAUGGAUGUCAGGUUAAUAUUCCUGAGCUUGCUUUGAUAAGUGAUGGGGGGACAGGGUUCUGAAUGUUUACCCACUGCUGGAAUAGUGGGGUUAAGCCUGAGGGAGGGUCAUAGGUAAAUCCGUGACCGUAAUCCCAGGGGUGAUGACGAGGGCGUUGUGACCCGAAGUAACUGGAUGGACCUUCAAGAAAAGCCUCUAAGCGUUAUAAAAUCAAAGUGAUCCGUACUAAAACCGACACAGGUAGGUGAGGAGAGUAUCCUAAGGCGCUCGAGAGAACCUUCGUCAAGGAACUCGGCAAAAUGGCCCCGUAACUUCGGGAUAAGGGGUGCUCAGAGAGGUGAAGGGGUUCGCCCCCGGAGCUAUGCUCUGAGUCACAGUAAAUCGGCCCGUCCAACUGUUUAUCAAAAACACAACUCUGUGCUAAGGCCUAAAGCCUACGUAUACAGAGUGACACUUGCCCGCUGCUGGUAGGUUAAGGGGAAGGGUUAGAGGUUCGCCUCGAAGCUCAUAACCGAAGCCCCAGUGAAGGGCGGCCGUAACUAUGACGGUCCUAAGGUAGCGAAAUUCCUUGUCGGGUAAGUUCCGACCCGCAUGAAUAGUGUAAUGAGAUGGGCACUGUCUCGACGAAGGACUCGGCGAAACUGAAUUCGAGGUGAAGAUGCCUCGUUCCCGCGGGUAGGCGGAAAGACCCUAUGAACCUUUACUGUAGCAUAUUAUUGGGUUUAGGUAUACUCUGUGCAGAAUAGGUGGGAGGCGUUGAAUUACGAGCGCAAGCUUGUUUGGAGCCGUUAGUGAGAUACCACUCUCUGUAUAUUUGAACUCUAACCGAGUGCCAUGAAUCUGGGCUUGGGACAGUGGUAUGUGGGCAGUUUAACUGGGGCGGUUUCCUCCCAAAGAGUAACGGAGGAGUGCAAAGGUACACUCAGCACGGUUGGCAAUCGUGCGUAGAGCGCAAAGGUAAAAGUGUGCUUGACUGCGAGUCGUACAUGACAAGCAGAUGCGAAAGCAGGCCUUAGUGAUCCGGUAGUUGCGUGUGGAAGCGCUAUCGCUCAACGGAUAAAAGGUACUCUAGGAUAACAGGCUUAUCUCCCCCAAGAGUCCAUAUCGACGGGGAGGUUUGGCACCUCGAUGUCGGCCCGUCGCAUCCUGGGGCUGAAGAAGGUCCCAAGGGUUUGGCUGUUCGCCAAUUAAAGCGGCACGCGAGCUGGGUUCAGACCGACGUGAGUCAGGUCGGUCCCUACCUUCCGCGGGUGUAGGAGAUUUGAGGAGUUCUCUCCCUAGUACGAGAGGAUUGGGAGGGACGAACCUCUGGUGUUCCUGUUGUCGUGCCAGCGGCAGCGCAGGGUAGCUAAGUUCGGUUAGGAUAAGCGCUGAAAGCAUAUAAGCGCGAAGCCAUUUCCAAGACGAGAUCU
rnacentral:rRNA from 1 species